UACGUAGGGGCAAGCGUUGUCCGGAUUUACUGGGCGUAAAGAGCGUGUAGGCGGCCACGCAGGUCCGUUGUGAAAACUGGAGGCUCAACCUCGAGACGUCGAUGGAAACCAUCUGGCUAGAGUCCGGAAGAGGAGAGUGGAAUUCCUGGAUGGUAGCGGUGAAAUGCGCAGAUAUCAGGAAGAACACCGGUGGCGAAGGCGGCCCACUGGUCCGGUACUGACGCUGAGGUGCGAAAGCGUGGGGAGCAAACAGG
rnacentral:rRNA from 1 species